rnacentral:rRNA from 2 species
AUAUCUAUAAGAUUGUAUUAAAAUUGAAUAAAGCUUUGUUUAUAUAUUGAUAAUGACAGUAUAUAUAUCGUGUCUUGACUAAUUACGUGCCAGCAGUCGCGGUAAUACGUAAGAGACUAGUGUUAUUCAUCUUAAUUAGGUUUAAAGGGUACCUAGACGGUCAAUAUAGCUUCUAUAAUGUUAGUACUUGACUAGAGUUUGAUAUAAGAGGGCAGUACUUGAGGAGGAGAGAUGAAAUUCUAUUAUACCAAAGGGACUCGGUAAAGGCGAAGGCAGCCCUCUAUGUAAAAACUGACGUUGAAGGACGAAGGCACAGAGCACAAACAGGAUUAGAUACCCAAGUAGUCUUUGCAGUAAAUGAUGAAUGCCAUAGGUUAGAUUGAGUUUUAGUAAAUUAGUUUAUCAGUAGUAAACUAACUAUUAAACAAUAUUUAGUCUAUAAAUGAAAGUGUAAGCAUUCCACCUCAAGAGUAAUGUGGCAACGCAGGAACUGAAAUCAC